rnacentral:lncRNA from 1 species
CAGAUAUUUUGGUGCUUUUUUCAGCCACUUUGCCUGCGAUUCCCGAACCUUUCUUUGAGAUGCAACAAUGGCCAUGGGGAAGAGCAAUGUGUUCUAUCUUAGUUUUUCUCCAAUAUUUAGGAGUUGAUGCCUCAUCGUUGUCCAUAACAGCGUUCACAAUAGAACGAUACAUAGCAAUAUGUCAUCCUAUGACGGCACAACGCAUGUGUACUAUACGAAGGGCC